UAGGGAAUCUUCCACAAUGGACGCAAGUCUGAUGGAGCAACGCCGCGUGAGUGAAGAAGGUUUUCGGACCGUAAAGCUCUGUUGUUGGUGAAGAAGGAUAGAGGUAGUAACUGGCCUUUAUUUGACGGUAAUCAACCAGAAAGUCACGGCUAACUACGUGCCAGCAGCCGCGGUAAUACGUAGGUGGCAAGCGUUGUCCGGAUUUAUUGGGCGUAAAGCGAGCGCAGGCGGAAGAAUAAGUCUGAUGUGAAAGCCCUCGGCUUAACCGAGGAAUUGCAUCGGAAACUGUUUUUCUUGAGUGCAGAAGAGGAGAGUAGAACUCCAUGUGUAGCGGUGGAAUGCGUAGAUAUAUGGAAGAAUACCAGUGGCGAAGGCGGCUCUCUGGUCUGCAACUGACGCUGAGGCUCGAAAGCAUGGAUAGCGAACAGGAUUAGAUACCCUGGUAGUCCAUGCCGUAAACGAUGAGUGCUAAGUGUUGGGAGGCUUCCGCCUCUCAGUGCUGCAGCUAACGCAUUAAGCACUCCGCCUGGGGGAGUACGACCGCAAGGUUGAAAC
rnacentral:rRNA from 1 species